UGGGGGAUAUUGCACAAUGGGCGAAAGCCUGAUGCAGCGACGUCGCGUGUGGGAAGACGGUCCUCGGAUUGUAAACCACUGGCUUUGGGGACGAUAAUGACGGUACCCAAGGAGGAAGCUCCGGCUAACUACGUGCCAGCAGCCGCGGUAAUAAUCACU
rnacentral:rRNA from 1 species